UAACACAUGCAAGUCGAACGCAGUAGCAAUACUGAGUGGCAGACGGGUGAGUAUAAUGUGGGAAUCUGCCUUUUGGUUCGGAAUAACACGAGGAAACUUGUGCUAAUACCGGAUAAGCCCUCACGGGGAAAGUUUUAAUGCCAAAAGAUGAGCCCGCACUUGAUUAGCUAGUUGGUAAGGUAAAAGCUUACCAAGGCAACGAUCAAUAGCUGUUCUUAGAGGAAGACCAGCCACAUUGGGACUGAGACACGGCCCAAACUCCUACGGGAGGCAGCAGUGGGGAAUCUUGCACAAUGGGGGAAACCCUGAUGCAGCGAUGCCGCGUGAGUGAAGAAGGCCUUUGGGUUGUAAAACUCUUUCGUCGGGGAAGAAAAUGACUGUACCCGAAUAAGAAGGUCCGGCUAACUUCGUGCCAGCAGCCGCGGUAAUACGAAGGGACCUAGCGUAGUUCGGAAUUACUGGGCUUAAAGAGCUCGUAGGUGGUUAAAAAAGUUGAUGGUGAAAUCCCAAGGCUCAACCUUGGAACUGCCAUCAAAACUUUUUAGCUAGAGUAUGAUAGAGGUAAGUGGAAUUUCUAGUGUAGAGGUGAAAUUCGUAGAUAUUAGAAAGAACACCAAAUGCGAAGGCAACUUACUGGAUCAUUACUGACACUGAGGAGCGAAAGCAUGGGUAGCGAAGAGGAUUAGAUACCCUCGUAGUCCAUGCCGUAAACGAUGUGUGCUAGACGUUGGAAACUUAG
rnacentral:rRNA from 1 species